rnacentral:rRNA from 1 species
GGGGAAUUUUCCGCAAUGGGCGAAAGCCUGACGGAGCAAUACCGCGUGAGGGAGGAGGCUCUUGGGUUGUAAACCUCUUUUCUCAAGGAAUAAGAAUGAAGGUACUUGAGGAAUAAGCAUCGGCUAACUCCGUGCCAGCAGCCGCGGUAAUACGGAGGAUGCAAGCGUUAUCCGGAAUGAUUGGGCGUAAAGCGUCCGUAGGUGGUUUUGUGUGUCUGCUGUUAAAGCGUGCGGCUUAACCGCAUAAGGGCGGUGGAAACUACAAGACUAGAGUACGUUCGGGGCAGGGGGAAUUCCCAGUGUAGCGGUGAAAUGCGUAGAGAUUGGGAAGAACACCGGUGGCGAAAGCGCCCUGCUAGGCCGUAACUGACACUGAGGGACGAAAGCUAGGGGAGCGAAAGGGAUUAGAUACCCCUGUAGUC